rnacentral:rRNA from 1 species
GACGAACGCUGGCGGCGUGCCUAAUACAUGCAAGUAGAACGCUGAAGGAGGAGCUUGCUUCUCCGGAUGAGUUGCGAACGGGUGAGUAACGCGUAGGUAACCUGCCUGGUAGCGGGGGAUAACUAUUGGAAACGAUAGCUAAUACCGCAUAAGAGUAGAUGUUGCAUGACAUUUGCUUAAAAGGUGCAAUUGCAUCACUACCAGAUGGACCUGCGUUGUAUUAGCUAGUUGGUGGGGUAACGGCUCACCAAGGCGACGAUACAUAGCCGACCUGAGAGGGUGAUCGGCCACACUGGGACUGAGACACGGCCCAGACUCCUACGGGAGGCAGCAGUAGGGAAUCUUCGGCAAUGGACGGAAGUCUGACCGAGCAACGCCGCGUGAGUGAAGAAGGUUUUCGGAUCGUAAAGCUCUGUUGUAAGAGAAGAACGAGUGUGAGAGU